rnacentral:rRNA from 1 species
UAUACCCUUCACUAUCGGAAUAGCCUCGGGAAACUGGGAGUAAUACCGUAUACGCCCUUUGGGGGAAAGAUUUAUCGGUGAAGGAUUAGCCCGCGUCUGAUUAGAUAGUUGGUGGGGUAAUGGCCUACCAAGUCUACGAUCAGUAGCUGGUUUGAGAGGAUGAUCAGCAACCUGGGACUGAGACACGGCCCAGACUCCUAUGGGAGGCAGCAGUGGGGAAUCUUAGACAAUGGGCGCAGCCUGAUCUAGCCAUGCCGCGUGAGUGACGAAGGCCUUAUGGUCGUAAAGCUCUUUCGCC